rnacentral:lncRNA from 1 species
AGUACAUGGACAACUCAUCCUAGUAAUAUGUCCUGUAGACACCCAGAGUCCGGAACUGCAGAGGACCCCAGAUCUACUCAGCCAGCAGGACGUUAACCAUAACUCCUGGGACCCUCCAGAGCCCAGGGCCAGGGCCUCAAGAAUUUUACCCACGAAAGUGUUAUCGGGAAUCUACAUGUAAUCCAGCUUGACGGGAUGGUCCUAGGUCCCAGCAUCUCCCAGUAGACUGAUCCCACCUGCAAGUGGCCAGGGACAGACCUUGCAGGUCAGGUAGGAGUGGGUCUACUGUUUCUGCUUCCCAGGCAGACCUGUGUGGAGCAAGACUGUUUAUAGACAACACCUUGCUGUAGCCAGAGGUGGUGGCUUAACAGCAGCAGGAACGCCCUCCCUCAUUGCUUCACAAGCUGCAAGUUUCUAAGAUGCGCCCUUGGCCUCAGCGGGCAGAUAAGCACCUGCAAUGGAGAGGGAACCCUUGAUCAAGGGCUGAUAAGCUCAGGAAGGGAGAAAAAAAAACCACCCCAAUAACAACAAGAAAAAGCUGAGC